rnacentral:rRNA from 1 species
UACGAAGGGGGCUAGCGUUGUUCGGAUUAACUGGGCGUAAAGCGCGCGUAGGCGGGUUUUUAAGUCAGGGGUGAAAUCCCAAGGCUCAACCUUGGAACUGCCUUUGAUACUGGAAAUCUUGAGUCCGGGAGAGGUGAGUGGAACUGCGAGUGUAGAGGUGAAAUUCGUAGAUAUUCGGAAGAACACCAGUGGCGAAGGCGGCUCACUGGCCCGGUACUGACGCUGAGGUGCGAAAGCGUGGGGAGCAAACAGG